UGUACAUCAAACCGUCCUGCAUGUACCUCUUGUUUCCCUGUGCCAGUGUCUCCAGUGUUUGCCUUGUUUGCAAUGUCCUUGAGCAGGGACACACCGUUGGUGAUGAUGAAGCUGGCUCGACUCAUCUUUGUGGAGGAAUGGAUCAGAGCCUCCACAGCAACCAUCUGGUCAACCUCACGUUCGGAGGCACACAAUGCCACCAUCAUUUCCAUUAUACCUUGGUGUCCAAUCAGAGCAUUGCCCACGUCGAAGGGACCCUGAAGGAGUCCUGAGAUGGUAUUGAUAGCAUGAAUGGUCUUGUCCAUGUCGUUAGGGUCAAUUUUGGAUCUACAGAAGGGAGAAAAAAUAGACAAAAAAACCCAAAUGUAACUCGUGUUGUAUGGGUCUCCAUUUACCACAGCUCUAUUAGCCAGCACUCAAAUGUUUUUUUUGACCUUAGCUUACUUGAUAUAUGCAUCACAAAUGUCUCUGAAGUUGUCUCUCUCAGGGUCACAUUUAAGGUCGUCAUAGAGCUUGGUGAGAAGCACACUGGCAAUCAGCUGUGUGUUUUCUGUUAAAGGCAGCUGGUCUGGCAGUUCAGUCACCUGACCACACACCUUGAGGAUCUUCUUCAGACCUGGUAAACAAUCACAAAUAAGCAUGAAUAGAUAUCUCAUGUCAGGGAGUCUGGGAUUAUGCAACAUCAGACUGCAACUCCAGUCAAUAAAGUGAGCCGAAACUUUCUAGCUCACCAUUGUCAAUAGUGAAGAGCGUCCUGGAGUGGUCUUGCUCUUUCUUGUUUUUGCGAGGUACAUUUUUGCUCAAUAGGUUUAGAGCCUGGUCUCUGCCAUGACCAGACACCUUCUUACUGGCGACCAUCUCCAGCAGGGAUAGAAGAAUAGUUUUCAGGUCUUUGGAUGCAUCUGCAAAGGGGAAAAUUACAAGAUGAUUAAAUUCAGCAAUGCUGUGAAAAAAUUCCUACAGCUGUGCAGCUACAACCAUUUCUGUUUUAUUAUUUUUUUAAUGUUUGGAUUAAAAUUGUUUCUCACCCAAAA